rfam:Hymenolepis nana genome assembly, scaffold: HNAJ_scaffold0001480
GGGGUGCGCAAAAGACAUACCUUUACGUGGUGCACCCUGGACAACGUAUAUUCAUACGGCAAAAAAGUCUUU